GACGAACGCUGGCGGCGUGCUUAACACAUGCAAGUCGAACGGAAAGGCCCAGCUUGCUGGGUACUCGAGUGGCGAACGGGUGAGUAACACGUGGGUGAUCUGCCCUGCACUCUGGGAUAAGCCUGGGAAACUGGGGCUAAUACCGGAUAUGACCAACUGUCGCACGGGGGUUGGUGGAAAGCUUUUGCGGUGUGGGGUGGGCCCGCGGCCUAUCAGCUUUUUGGGGGGGUAAUGGCCUACAAAGGCGACGACGGGGAGCCGACCUGGGAGGGGGAUCGGCCACACGGGGACUGGGUCACGGCCCGGACCCCAACGGGAGGCAGCGGUGGGAAUUAUGGCACAAUGGGCGCAGGCCGGAUGCAGCGACGCCGCGUGGGGAAGGACGGCCUUCGGGUUUUAACCCUCUUUCACCAGGGACGAGGCGUGGGUGACGGUACCGGUAGAAGAGGCACCGCCAACCUACGG
rnacentral:rRNA from 1 species